GACGAACGCUGGCGGCGUGCCUAACACAUGCAAGUCAACUUGACUGAAGGAGCAAUCUGACAGUAGAGUGGCGCAAGGGUGCGUAACGCGUAAGUAACUUGCCCAAGGUAAGGAAUAACGUCGAGAAAUCGGCGCUAAUACCUCAUAAUGCAGCGGAUCCGCAUGGAUAUGUUGUUAAAGGUUUACCGCCUUGGGAUAGGCUUGCGUCUGAUUAGCUAGUUGGUGUGGUAACGGCACACCAAGGCUACGAUCAGUAACUGGUCUGAGAGGAUGAUCAGUCACACUGGAACUGAGACACGGUCCAGACUCCUACGGGAGGCAGCAGUGAGGAAUAAUUGGGCAAUGCUCGAAAGAGUGACCCAGCAACGCCGCGUGGAGGAUGAAGGUAUUCUAUAUCGUAAACUCCUGUGAGAGCAGACGAAGACAGAUUAUUAAUCUGGAUGACUGUAUGCUCAGAGGAAGCCCCGGC
rnacentral:rRNA from 1 species